rnacentral:rRNA from 1 species
GAUGAACGCUAGCGGAAGGCUUAAUACAUGCAAGUCGAGCGGUAGGUGGCUUCGGCCAUUGAGAGCGGCGCACGGGUGAGUAACGCGUACAUGACCUGCCUGUCAGAAGGGGAGUAGCCCUGGGAAACGUGGGAGUUAAUACCCUACUGGUAUUGAUAUUAUGAAUGAUAUCAAUUAAAGUUAGAGGCGCUGACAGAUGGAUGUGCGUCUGAUUAGCUAGUUGGUAGGGUAACGGCCUACCAAGGCGACGAUCAGUAGGGGGCGGUGAGAGCGUGGUCCCCCGACCACGGGUACGUGAGACACGGACCCGACUCCUACGGGAGGCAGCAGU